CCUCCCUGAAUCAUCUUCACCAAUUUCUUGUAUAGGUAAUUGGCGUUUUAAUUACAGUCUAAAGUAAUUGAUUGCUGCUGAAAUUUGAAAAUGGAAAAUGGCGAUGAUUGGCUAGCCUUAGACAAGUUCUAUCACGUCCUAUUCUGCUUCUUCAUUUCCAUUACAUUCUCCCUCCUCGCAGCCCGAAAUCCAUACCCAUUAAUUCGGCGAUACAGUGUCUGGAUCGGAUCCAUCGUUUCACUUCUUGCCGGCGCAGCCAAGGAGUUUGCUGACGAGCUUGGCUACUUCAGGUCCGCCGGCGCGUCCACCAAAGACGCCGCCGCUGACCUGAUCGGCGUUCUACUCGCCGCACUCGCCCUUUCUUUAUGCAAUCAGAAGUUUUUCUCCGCCCUGGUCGAACGAGACCAUUCGGGUCAAGCCCAAGUGCUCAACAUGGUUUGAUCAGUUGGGGUGAUUACUGUCUGGUGAGCUUCGAUACUGCAUUUGGGGUAACUAUGUUGGGUUGAUAAGAAAAAUUGGGAAAGCUAAACAAAUUCUGUACUUUGAAGUAUAAUUGUAUUUUGAAUUCCUUUGUGGUUUUUAACUUUGAAUUUCUGGUUCUUGUUCAAUAACAUAAUUAGUACAGAGCAACUGAUGAUUGGAAAUGCAAGGGAACGUUCAAAAACAGGCAUGGCAUUGACUUGGAAAAGGUAAUUCAAGUUCAAAGGUCGAAACUGUGUUGAAAAAAACUAAAUGAAAAAAAUAAAAACAAAAUCUUGGUGUGGACUGGCCAGUUUCUUUAGCUGAAUCAUGAGUUCUUAGGUUAUUUCGGGUUCCUUUUUUGGCCUUUAAUUAGACCUGUCAUGGUUUUUUUAGGUAAACUAGCCUGUCCAGUAGUGUUCUAAUAAUAGCUGUAAAGAUCUGAGCUUCGCGACUUAGUAAAUAAUGCUUUCUUGUUCUUCAUUAUAGAUGGUGUUGAAUUAGAGAAGCAGAAAUGGAUUCUAGUAAUGUGAUCGAUAUGGAAUAGGUUAGAGGCCCAUUUUUUCUAAGGAGAGAUGCUGUUUCGAGUUAACAUGUUAGAAGGAUAUAUAGAUCAUAAUUAACAUGGAUGUUGUAGUAGAUCAGAUAAUGAAAUAAACAGAGAGCUAAAAAAGAAUUUAUAUAGCUGACUUUAAAUUUUUUGGGAGUAGAACUUAGAUUGUUGAUUUUGGAAAGUUGAAAAUUGAAGUCAAUUGAGAAUUCGAUAAUGGAAAGAUCUGAUGAGAAGAAUUUAUAACAUCCAGUCCACUUUGAAAUUUGAAUAUGAUGGAUCUUUUUUUCAUUGCUUCUGCAUUUUUGGAAGUGCAUACUUUCUCCCAAAUGGCUGAAAAAUCUCCCUUUUAUGGAAUUUUGUAAUUCAAUAAAGUUUCUUUGAAGAAAAUUUUAUGGAAAACACAAUUAAUAUUCUCCUAUGUUAUUUGGACUUUAGUUGUGUGCAUUUGUUAUGUUACUGUAUACAUUCAUCACACAUCCGUCAGGGUUUGCAACCUGGUUUUCGCAUAUAUGGCGGUGCCCAUAUACUAUACUCCCAUUAUUAUACUUUAUUCAAUUAAUGAAGUCCUUUAUUAUUGAUUUUAUGAAAUGUAUGGCAGCAAUUAGGUUUAAGUAUUCCGAUUUAACAAAAAUUGGUCUACAUCAGAACAAAAGCAAUUGUCCUGUUGUUAUUCUUUAGGAUGAUUUCUGAGUGGUUGCCUUGUCAAAAGAAGAUCUAUACCUAGGCCUAAGUACACAGUGCUAAAUUGCAGACAAGAAUGAAGUUUUUUGCCUUUGAAAUGACAGUGGAAGAACUUAGUUUUCUUGCCAACCAUUUUGUCAUUGGAAAACUCAAGGAUGGGGACCAUAUUAUGGAGCAUAUCUUCUAACUUUAUUAUCAUUUCUUUUAAUGGUAAUGAUUCUAUAGAGGCCUUUUCAGUGGGUUUGCCUCUUGAUGUUCUAUUUUUUACGGUCAUAUAAUGAAGCGGUAAAAGAAGAAUUACCCAAAAUGAUAAUUAUUUUCUGUUUGGAAUCUUCUCGUAGAUCUAGCAAUGACAUAAAUAGACUGGCAGAAAAGGGGUUGUGGCCUAUUCCAAAUUUCUUAGGAGCAAAACUUUGUUUGUUGUUGUUGCACAUUUUUGUGUUUAAUCUUUCAUGAUUCUUUUGGAGUCAAAAGGGGUGGCCUUAAAGCAAUAGAGGAUACUAACAAAGCUGUUUCAGAUUUCGAGUUGAUGCUGUUUUGGCCAUAGAAGCACAAAAGAUCACACACUUCUCUGAAACUAUACAUGAACGCAAUAAAAAGCAUGGAAUUGAAACAGUUCUGGACCACAGUCAACCAAUUAGCAGGAAGAGAUCUCAAUUCUCGAAGGGUUUGAUGAGCCACCAGGAGAAGAGGGCUUAUGAUUCUCUGAGCACAAGCAAAUAUGAAAUCAGUAAGUUUUGGAAUAAAUGAUUGCUUUGUUGGUCAAUGACAAAAUAAGUAGGACGUUUCUUUUUGAAGUAUCUCAUACCUUAUUGUAAAUAUAACUAGCUUUGUCUACUUAUAAGUAACAAAACUAACUUUUCUAAAUAUAUCGAGAAUCAAUAAGAUAGUACUUGAAAGUAAAUUUAAUAUGCUUUUAAUCUUAGUCAAACACUUGCUCUAGUAAGGCAUACUCAAAGCUUCAGCCAUCAAGUUUGCUUAUCUCCUACAAGAUUCAAUAAUGCAGAUUGAGGAUGAAUAAAAUGGAUUUUUAGGACCAUCAAGAAGUUCCU